GGCUGUGUGUCUUUGGAAUAUGUACCAACUGGAUCGUUCAUUCUUUGACCUUUAGAGAAACGAUCAGUGUGCACAGGCAAGGUGGCAUUAAAUUAACUGAAUUUGGCAGGAGAUGAUUUCCUAGAAUUAUGGGUGUUUUUCUUAUGGAUCAUACCUGCUAUCUCCUUUUCAACACGUGAAUGCUUCCUGAAGAGUCUUGUAGAUGAUAACUAAAGGAAUCAGAUAAGGGUAUAGCUGCCUUUCCUUCAUCACAAGUUAAGAUUCCAUGAUACGAACGUUGUGUUUUGACACAUACACCUUGGCCUUGAACCACCAUUAAUGUCUUAGUCUUAAUUCUGUGACACAGAGGCUAUCUAAAGUUUAGGAAAAUGCCAUAAUAUUACAUUCUGAAUACAAUAUGUAGAUUGUUGUAAAUGUCUCUACCUCCGAAGUGUGGCAAGACAAAGAUGCUCAGGCUCCCUCCUCUGGGACUGGAGAUCAGGAAUCGCUCCUGCUGAGCCCGGCUUCCUUCAGGGUCGUCAUGCAGAUCAUUUCUUCAGCUGGCCACACAGUUCACAAGCUUCCUUCUGGAAUACUUCAUAUCGUGGAAAGCUUCCCACUUUUCAUAGAUUGCAAAGACAUAACAGCAGAUCCCAAGAUGGAUGUCCAUCAGAUUUCAAUACUGAGAGAAGGAUGCCCUUCAAGUUAGAAUAUCAAGGGAAACCAAAAGGCAGAAUUGGGUAAUCUGCAGAGAGAAGGUCAGCUGGAGUAGUGUAGCAGAACUGCUGAGUCAUUGCUUGAACCAGUAAUUGAGCACCUGGUGGGAAGGCAGGGCCAAUACAGUGGAGCUCAGGUGCAUGCAGUGCCCGCGAGUGACUGGAAGGGGUGCAGCCAGGAUCCACCCCUUCCCAGACCUCAUUUAAGGGUUGGCAGUGGAAGUGAGUGGUUUUUAUUGGAGGUCCCUGCUUAUAUGUGAACUUCCAAAGGUUAUCAUCGUGGGCUUCUGCUGUGUUACAAACGAGAUGCCUCUGCCAGAGCCACAGAGAAGAAAGUGAAUUUAUUCACAGCAAACCCCCUCACACACGCCCCUCCUCCUCCCCCCUGGAGACCCAGUGUGCAAAGCCUGGCUCAGUGUGAGCAGGGACAGCGCCAGCGGGGUGACACUGUGCAAGUCAGCCCUUCCUCCCCCAGGCAGGGAACAGCUUUGUGAAUAACCGAUGGUGUAAGGCAGAGCAGCCACUGCUCAGCAAACAGCCCCGAGCAGGAAGGUGGGAAGCGCCUGGGAGCGGUGUGUUGGGCUGCACCAGAGUGCCCAGGACUUGUACAGCGUGUGAGACACAUCGUGGGUGGAGAGCACACAAAAGGAUCUGCAUGGACUUCUCCAGUCAUGGCACAUCGAUUACAGAGGGGUUUGGAGAUACAAGCAUAUCUAUAUGUACAGAACAUUACGGAAGUGUAUCUCAUGAGUGGUGUCCAGCCUUACUUUCUACACUCUUUUACAUUUCAGUCACUCCCAGAUGGAUCUUCUAAGCGAGUUUGUGUGAGGACUUCCAUAGAAAACAAUGUUAGGGCUCAGAAUGGUUAAAAUAUGUCUCCAAUCAAAGUAGUUUAUUCUGUUCCGGUUUGUUUACAGAUCUACAACACUUAUAUCCAAAUCCGCUUGGGUCAAAGUGAAAGUUAACAAAAGAUACACUUCUCAACGCGGCACGACAUCGCUCAAAUCGCACAGAGGGCAAAAUAAAACCCCAAGUAACAUUUUGUACCAUUGCUGUCCGGCCAAACACCAACACCCGAAGGUGGAGAGGAGAGCAGGGAGGGGAAAGAAGGGAGGAAGAGAAGAAAGGAAAACGUGGCUGCGUUGGCCAGAACUGGAGGAGUUAACGCGUCUCUCACAAUGGAAAUUCCAGGUCCUGUCUUAGAGGAUGCAGAGGGAGCUGCGGUGUUUGCAAACUGCAAAGUGAGCAUCGGAGAGCUUUGUGAGGAAUGCAAAGAUCUGGUUCAUCUUUAACUGGACGCUUCUAGAUAGCAGAUAGGGCAGUCUUCUCGGGGCGAAGCGUGCCAUUGGGAGGAGACCUCAGUGCCUUGAACAGGAGUAUCUCUGUGAGCCCAGUGAGGGGUUCAACACAGCUGCGUAACUAAAGAGGAGGAAACUCGAGGUUUCAGAGCAUCUUUCCCUUUUCUCCUUUCUUUUCAUCCCUGCUUUCUUAUAUUUAUCCCAUUCUCCCCACGCAUUCGCUGUCCCACUCGUGGCAGAGGCGGCCAGGACCGUCCUGGCCAGGAGCCCCAAACCCGGCU
rnacentral:lncRNA from 1 species